GACGAACGCUGGCGGCGUGCCUAAUACAUGCAAGUAGAACGCAGUUGCGAACGGGUGAGUAACGCGUAGGUAACUGCCUCAUAGCGGGGGAUAACUAUUGGAAACGUUAGCUAAUACCACAUACUGUGAGAUGGACCUUCGUUGUAUUAGCUAGUUGGUGGGGGAAAGGCUCACCAAUGCGACGAUACAUAGCCGACCUGAGAGGGUGAUCGGCCAGCAUGGGACUGGUACCCGGCCCAGACUCCUACGGGAGGCAGCCGGUGGGAAGGUUCGGAAAGGGACUGAAGUCUGACCGAGCAAUGCCGCGUGAGUGAAGAAGGUUUUCCGGUCGUAAAGCUCUGUUGUUAGAGAAGCGGUAACUACCCAGAAAGGGCCGGCUAACUACGUGCCAGCAGCGGCGGUAAUAC
rnacentral:rRNA from 1 species